rnacentral:rRNA from 1 species
UGCGUCGAACGGCAGCACGGGUGCUUGCACCUGGUGGCGAGUGGCGAACGGGUGAGUAAUACAUCGGAACAUGUCCUGUAGUGGGGGAUAGCCCGGCGAAAGCCGGAUUAAUACCGCAUACGAUCUACGGAUGAAAGCGGGGGACCUUCGGGCCUCGCGCUAUAGGGUUGGCCGAUGGCUGAUUAGCUAGUUGGUGGGGUAAAGGCCUACCAAGGCGACGAUCAGUAGCUGGUCUGAGAGGACGACCAGCCACACUGGGACUGAGACACGGCCCAGACUCCUACGGGAGGCAGCAGUGGGGAAUUUUGGACAAUGGGCGAAAGCCUGAUCCAGCAAUGCCGCGUGUGUGAAGAAGGCCUUCGGGUUGUAAAGCACUUUUGUCCGGAAAGAAAUCCUUGGCUCUAAUACAGUCGGGGGAUGACGGUACCGGAAGAAUAAGCACCGGCUAACUACGUGCCAGCAGCCGCGGUAAUACGUAGGGUGCGAGCGUUAAUCGGAAUUACUGGGCGUAAAGCGUGCGCAGGCGGUUUGCCAAGACCGAUGUGAAAUCCCCGGGCUCAACCUGGGAACUGCAUUGGUGACUGGCAGGCUAGAGUAUGGCAGAGGGGGGUAGAAUUCCACGUGUAGCAGUGAAAUGCGUAGAGAUGUGGAGGAAUACCGAUGGCGAAGGCAGCCCCCUGGGCCAAUACUGACGCUCAUGCACGAAAGCGUGGGGAGCAAACAGGAUUAGAUACCCUGGUAGUCCACGCCCUAAACGAUGUCAACUAGUUGUUGGGGAUUCAUUUCCUUAGUAACGUAGCUAACGCGUGAAGUUGACCGCCUGGGAGUACGGUCGCAAGAUUAAAACUCAAAGGAAUUGACGGGGACCCGCACAAGCGGUGGAUGAUGUGNAUUAAUUCGAUGCAACGCGAAAAACCUUACCUACCCUUGACAUGGUCGGAAUCCCGCUGAGAGGUGG